ACUGUCACUAAACCUUAAAAAACCCUCCCUCCACUAAUCUCUUUACUUAACACAUUUGGCUCAUAUUCUGGUUAUAAAAUAAAACUCUCCAAAACACAAGUUCUAAAGUUUAAUUAUAAACCAAAUAAGAACAUUCUAAAACUUUUAAAAGGUAAUUGGAGUAGCAGACUAAUCAAAUAUUUAGGGGUUCAACUACUUAGAG